UACGGGGGGGGCAAGCGUUGUUCGGAAUUACUGGGCGUAAAGGGCGCGUAGGCGGCCUUCUAAGUCGAACGUGAAAUCCCCGGGCUCAACCCGGGAACUGCGUCCGAUACUGGGAGGCUUGAAUCCGGGAGAGGGAUGUGGAAUUCCAGGUGUAGCGGUGAAAUGCGUAGAUAUCUGGAGGAAUACCGGUGGCGAAGGCGGCAUCCUGGACCGACGAUUGACGCUGAGGAGCGAAAGCUAGGGGAGCAAACGGG
rnacentral:rRNA from 1 species